rnacentral:rRNA from 1 species
CUCUUCGAUGUUCUGGGCUGCACGCGCGCUACACUGAUGCGCUCAACGAGUUUUAACCUUGCCUGGAAAGGUUGGGUAAUCUUUUUAAAACGCAUCGUGAUGGGGAUAGAUUAUUGCAAUUAUUAAUCUCCAACGAGGAAUUCCUAGUAAACGCAAGUCAUCAGCUUGCAUUGAUUACGUCCCUGCCCUUUGUACACACCGCCCGUCGCACCUACCGAUUGAAUGGUCCGGUGAAAUCUUGGGAUUUUGUUUUGUUUGCAUUUAUUUGUAUCGAGACGAGAGAACUUGAGUAAACCUUACCAUUUAGAGGAAGGUGAAGUCGUAACA